AGAUCUCACCGGCACCAUCGUCAUGGUCACCGGCACAUCCUCCGGCACAUAAAGGUUGCAAAAUCAUCCUCGCCGCUCGUCGAGUCGACCACCUCUAGGCUCUGUUGCGAUGAAAUCAACAGAUUACGUGUUUCCGAUACUCAUUCAAAACGAACUCAAACCAUAAACGAAGACUUAUUAGUGGUUGCAGUGGAGCUUGACGUCAGGGGUAUUAACGGUGCCUGCGUCGCCGUGUACUAAUUUAUUUCGUUUUCUUCUCCUUCACGUAAGCCUAAAUUCUGUUAUAUCACUUUAUCGGUAGUUUUGUACUGAUUUUAUUCUGAUUUUUAUCGUUCAGAUUCAACUGGUGCUAACUUAUUUCAGCUUCGUUUCUUCAAGCAGAGUUUCAUCUGAAGGUUUCAGAUCUAUAACUGUUGGUGAACGUGUGGAUGCUUAUAACGAUUCUGAGGAUGAUAUUGUGUGUUCGUCAGAGAGAUUGCAUUAACGUGUUCCAGACCGUUGAAGGUCAUUAGAUCAGAUUAAAAUUGAGUCACCGGAGAUUAAUUUUUGAUCGAUUGACACGAUUAUGGAUGAGAUCGUAUCAGAUUCAGCUAAUUCGUUUCGGUUAGGGCAACACGAUUAGUGAAUUGACGGUACGGUUAGGGCCACACGAUGAUUCUGCAACCUUUAUGUGCCGGAGGAUGCGCCGGUGACCAUGACGAUGGUGCUAGUGAGAUCACGCCAUGGUUCAAGGGGGGAGGUUAUUACGUGUUGAGUAGAAACCGCCAUUAAUGGUGCCUGCGUCGCUGUUUGUUUUUUUUAAGAAAUUGCAAUAU